rnacentral:tRNA from 3 species
AUCGGUUUGGUGUAGUGGUUAGCGCGCUCGACUUUGAAUCGAGAGGCACGGGUUCGAUUCCCGUAGCCGAUA